rnacentral:rRNA from 1 species
CUACGGGAGGCUGCAGUGGGGAAUAUUGCACAAUGGGCGCAAGCCUGAUGCAGCCAUGCCGCGUGUAUGAAGAAGGCCUUCGGGUUGUAAAGUACUUUCAGCGGGGAGGAAGGGAGUAAAGUUAAUACCUUUGCUCAUUGACGUUACCCGCAGAAGAAGCACCGGCGAACUCCGUGCCAGCAGCCGCGGUAAUACGGAGGGUGCAAGCGUUAAUCGGAAUUACUGGGCGUAAAGCGCACGCAGGCGGUUUGUUAAGUCAGAUGUGAAAUCCCCGGGCUCAACCUGGGAACUGCAUCUGAACUGGCAAGCUUGAGUCUCGUAGAGGGGGGUAGAAUUCCAGGUGUAGCGGUGAAAUGCGUAGAGAUCUGGAGGAAUACCAGUGGCGAAGGCGGCCCCCUGGACGAAGACUGACGCUCAGGUGCGAAAGCGUGGGGAGCAAACAGGAUUAGAUACCCCGGUAGUC